GUGGGGAAUAUUGCACAAUGGGGGAAACCCUGAUGCAGCAACGCCGCGUGAGUGAUGAAGGCCUUCGGGUUGUAAAGCUCUGUCUUUGGGGACGAUAAUGACGGUACCCAAGGAGGAAGCCACGGCUAACUACGUGCCAGCAGCCGCGGUAAUACGUAGGUGGCAAGCGUUGUCCGGAUUUACUGGGCGUAAAGGGAGCGUAGGUGGAUAUUUAAGUGAGAUGUGAAAUACCCGGGCUUAACCUGGGUGCUGCAUUUCAAACUGGAAGUCUAGAGUGCAGGAGAGGAGAAUGGAAUUCCUAGUGUAGUGGUGAAAUGCGUAGAGAUUAGGAAGAACACCAGUGGCGAAGGCGACUCUCUGGACUGUAACUGACACUGAGGCUCGAAAGCGUGGGGAGCAAACAGGAUUAGAAACCCCAGUAGUCC
rnacentral:rRNA from 1 species